UGGGGAAUUUUGGACAAUGGGCGAAAGCCUGAUCCAGCAAUGCCGCGUGUGUGAAGAAGGCCUUCGGGUUGUAAAGCACUUUUGUCCGGAAAGAAAUCCUUGGCUCUAAUACAGUCGGGGGAUGACGGUACCGGAAGAAUAAGCACCGGCUAACUACGUGCCAGCAGCCGCGGUAAUACGUAGGGUGCAAGCGUUAAUCGGAAUUACUGGGCGUAAAGCGUGCGCAGGCGGUUUGCUAAGACCGAUGUGAAAUCCCCGGGCUCAACCUGGGAACUGCAUUGGUGACUGGCAGGCUAGAGUAUGGCAGAGGGGGGUAGAAUUCCACGUGUAGCAGUGAAAUGCGUAGAGAUGUGGAGGAAUACCGAUGGCGAAGGCAGCCCCCUGGGCCAAUACUGACGCUCAUGCACGAAAAGCGUGGGGAGCAAAACAGGAUUAGAUACCCUGGUAGUCCACGCCCUAAAACGAUGUCAACUAGUUGUUGGGGAUUCAUUUCCUUAGUAACGUAGCUAACGCGUGAAGUUGACCGCCUGGGGAGUACGGCCGCAAGAUUAAAACUCAAAGGAAUUGACGGGGUCAUAGCUGUUUCCU
rnacentral:rRNA from 1 species